CAUCCAUUCGGGCCAUCCGAUAAAUUAGAACGAUACAAAGAAGAUUAGCAUGAUCCCGACUCAAGGAUGACACGCAUAAAUCAAGAAAAAAUACUUUACUAU